UUCUUCCUCUUCCUCCAUCGCGUGAACUAUUCUCACAAAAAACCCUAAUCCCUUUUCAUCGAUUUACUCGGGUUUGUAAUCAAAACAAAGAUUGAAGCUCUCAACUGGUUGUGAUUGAAGCUCUCAGUUGGUUGUGAUUGAAGGGUAGCAGUACUCACAGGACAGUGUUUCUCAAGCAGUUUUCAUCUAGACGGCUUCUAACUGAACAAAUGAAAAAGGAAGCAAACAACAAGACAAAUAUGAAAUCUCAUGUCAAGAAUCAAAGGGGUGCUUCCAGUUUGGAGCUUCCACAG